rnacentral:tRNA from 1 species
GCGCCGAUGACGAAAAUGGUAUCCGUCCUCGUUCUGUAAACGAGGGUUCCUCCCAGAACUUACGGGUUCGAAUCCCGUUCGACGCA